rnacentral:lncRNA from 1 species
ACCCUGGGAAUCAAGCCUUCCAUUAUGUCUGCCAGAGACUUGGAGUCCGUCACAUCAUCACUGAGCCCAAAGCGAGGAUGCCAUGAGGAAAGCUGGCAUGGCGCACAGUAAAUCCAGCAAUGAUACGGAGAGCCAUGUGUUCCUGAAGGCCAAGCCCCGGAGAGAAACACAGGCAGCACUGCCCUCGGGGGAGUGCUGGCCCUGGCGGAAUGCAGCAGCCACAAAGGAUCCAGCCAGAGGAUGCCCCACCUGCCCAGCACUACCAGGCUGCCCAAGGGGUGCAAGCGUGGGAAGAGCCCAACACGGAGCAGCACCUCGGAUGGGGCAGAGACUUGUCACAUCACUGUCCCCAGCAAAGGCUACAUGUUGUCUCCUUCAGUUGAUGAUACACCUUUCCGAGAUGCAGAGCAUCCAGGUCAGACAAUCUCUACCAUUUUUUUAUUAUAUUAAGGCACUAACUUAGAAUGAGGUUUUUGUG